CUGUGGAGUGUACAAGAACUUGUGAGUAGUAUCUGGAUUUAUCCAGUACGAAAGCAUACACGACGAAGCAGUAA
rnacentral:sRNA from 1 species